AAAAUCCGUCGACUUUAAAAAUCGUGAGGNUUCAAGUCCCUCUAUCCCCA
rnacentral:tRNA from 2 species